ACUGGGCACGCGCGGGCGGGAGGAGAGACCGCGGCUGGACGCGGGGUGGGCGGUCCCCGACGCCGCGGCCCCAGGCAAAUACCCCUCACCGCCCGGGCGUCCCGUCCUCCCCUCUGGCCUCGCGGGGUUGGCGGAGCGGGUCCGCGGCCGGGCCCGGGAGGGGCGGAGCCCGCGGGAGUGCGGGGAGGAAGGCCGCGCAGGGGUAGGUGGUGCCCGAACCAGGUCCCAGGAGGAGGUGGAGUGUCCGUGUUGGAAGGUGCGGGGACACUGGGCUUAGCGUUUUAUCCGGCGUUACCGCCGAGUCUUCAUCCGGAAACUGGUACCGCCGCUGUGACGGUGGAGGACACUGAAACCUCAGUAACUGCCGGAGGCAGACACACAGCGGGUGGCAGAGUCCUAAAUUGAAUUCCCACGCCGCCACCCUUGGCCCUCCCUCUGCACGGCCUCGCCGCUGCACCCGGACGGGAAGUGUUUGCAAACGUCCUUUGAGCAUCUUUUGUCUCGGCUUUGUAUUCCUUGGCCCUCCGAGCGAAAACAGCUAGUUUCCCCCCAACAGGCACAGAUCGCACCGGGAAGCUGAACACAGUCCUUUCAUGCUGCCGUGGAACAGGUGUUGAAAACCCAGAUAGCCGCAGGGAUGGGCAGGAUUCUGCCCUAUCCCUCAGCUCUGCAUUUGAUGGCUGGGAUCCUGGGGAUCUGGUUUUCCUCUGACUGUUGGCAUUCCUGUUACCAUCAUAUGAAUUCUUCCCCCGGCCACAUCACCAUCCCACCAUCUGGAGUUGUGCUAAGGAAUCUGGGUUUAGACACUUGAGUAUCAAGUUCUGUCCCUGAGGAAUUCUCCGACCUUGGUGGACUGUGGACUCUGGGGUAUCUCUUUUUGGCAUGAUACUCUCCUGACAAAUCUGUACAUAACGUAUAAUAUUUCCAUUUCUGGAAACACCCUGCUGCCUCAAUUCAGAGCCAUCAAGCCUGUACCCGAAAGUGUCUCCCAGCCUUGGGAGCACCCACGUUCAUUUCAACUCACUGUUUUGUUUUGGUUUUUUUUUUUCCGGAAAUAUGUGGCUCGCAGCUCAGGCAAUGUCAAAACAGCCCAGGCCUACAGACCUCCCAGGAGGACAGAACUUUUUUUUCUUACCCACGAAGCGGGACUCACGUGGUUGGAUAGGAGACCUUGUCUUUAUUUCCGGGAUCUUCCAUAUAAUAUUCACAUGACUUAUGUGUCAAGUCAUUUAUGCUGGUGUGGCUUCAUUCCAGGUAGCCUCCACUCCCCCUUCCCCAGUCCCGAUGUGGCUGCCAGGAAUGGUCCCUGUGGCUGCAGCUGGCAUUGUCUCAAGAGGUAGCGACCUUUGGCGGGUAUGACCGAAGACUAGAGGUGUUUGGAAGCCUCUGGAAGGACUGCUGAAGGGUGCAGGGACACAAUGCUGGACAAUUAUGAGAGUGUGGUCACUCGGGGAUCCUUCUUACAGCUCUCCAUGAUGCCCCAGAAAGCUGGAAAUGACUCCCCUGCUGUUUCCAGCACAAGUGAAACGGAAAUGGAGAUAAGUAACAUGAGAGAAAAGUUUCUUACAAGCGUGACAAAGUUAGUAGAAAGCAAAAGUUAUAACAGCAAAGUAUUUUCCAAAGAAAAGUACUUUCAAACAAUAAAGGAAGUCAAAGAAGCCAAGGAAAAGGGGAAGAAGUCAUCACGUGACUACCGCCGCGCAGCAAAAUAUGACGUGAUCUCUGUGCGAGGCACGGAGAAGCUAAUAGAGGCCGCUCACAGGGAACGUGAUCGAAUACGGUAUUACGUACAUAAGGAAGAGUUGUUUGACAUUCUUCACGACACACACCUCAAUAUUGGACACGGUGGGCGGACACGGAUGCUCAAGGAGCUACAAGGAAAAUAUGGGAAUGUCACCAAAGAAGUCAUUGUCUUGUACCUGACACUCUGUAAACAGUGCCACCAGAAGAACCCAGUGCCCAAGAGAGGUCUUGCGCCCAAGCCCAUGCCUUUUAAGGACAUCGACUCCAGAUGCCAAGUUGAAGUACUUGACAUGCAGUCAAAUGCCGAUGGUGAGUUCAAGUUUAUUUUGUAUUACCAGGACCACCUGACCAAGUUUAUCAUCUUACGACCGUUAAGAGCUAAACAGGCCCACGAGGUGGUCAGUGUCCUGUUGGAUAUUUUCACAAUUCUCGGUACCCCUGGCAUGUUAGAAUCUGACAGCGGUGUAGAGUUCACAAACCAGGUUGUUAAUGAGCUUAAUGAGGUAUGGCCGGAGCUGAAGAUCGUCUGUGGUCAGCACCGCCCUGGCCAAGGCCAGGGCUCCCUGGAGCGAGCGAGCCAUGACGUCAAGAACAUGAUACGUGCCUGGAUGCAGAGUCACCGCUCACGCCGCUGGGCCGAAGGCCUGCGAUUUGUGCAGCUGGCGAGGAAUCAGGUGUUCGACGUUUCCUUGCAGCAAAGUCCAUACGAAGCGAUGUUUGGCUGUAAGGCCAAACUCGGCCUGUACUCCUCACACUUACCCCGCGAAACCGUGGCCGUGUUACAGACAGAGGAAGAGCUGGAAAUUGCGGAAAAACAGCUAGAAAGCAGCCUUUGGAUCAGGCAGGAAGAAAGGACUGAGAUGGGAGCAGACAGAUCUGAUAUGGAUGAGGACAUCGAUCCCACGCCUCCGGAACCUACAGAGCCCAGCACCUCACAGGGGGCCCCAGGCCUCUUCUGCUGGUGAACGGGCGCCUGCUGGGUGCUGUCCAGCCAUCUGAGAACUGUCGCCAGAUUCCCCGGGGAAAGGAACAUGAAGGCUGCGCUCUCCACAGUCGCUCACGUUGUCCACGGCAGUGCUUGCAACGAGGGGAAAAGCGGGCCGGGUCCGUAACGAAUGACCACAAACUUAGCGGCUUAACAGCAAUAUACCCUUUGGCAGCUCUGGAGGCCAGAAGUUCAAGGUGUCGGCAGGGCUUGUUGCUUCUGGAAGCUCGGAGAGAAUCCGUCCCGUGCCUUUCUCCUCUCCCUGGUGGCCGCUGGCAGUCCUCUGCGUUCCUUGGCUUCCUCGAGUCUCUGCCUCAUCUUCCCGUGGAGCUUCGCCUGGCCUUUCCCCCUCUGUCUCUCUGUGAUCUCCUUUUCUGUCUCUUGAAAGGACACCACGGCAUACCAACCCCAUGCCAUUGGAUUUAAGGUCCUCCCCUACCAGGGAUGAUCUCCUCUCGACAUCCUCACCUUAAUUGUAUCUGCAAAGACCCUUUGUCCAAGUGAGGUCCAAUUCACGGGUGUUGGGGGUUUGAACUUGGACAUACCUUUCUUGGGACACAGUUCUACUAACUACAGCCAGUAGAAGAGUAUUUCUGCCUGCAGAACCUGAACCGGUGGGGUCUUAAGUGCGGUGCCCUACGUACAUCUAGUACGUAUUCCUUCUGCCAAGCCCCCCUCCUCAGACAACAUCCCGAAAGGUGGGGGCAUCGGAGGAAAAGGUGUAGUGAGAAAAGAGAGCGGCCACCUCGGCAUCUGAGCUCUAUUUCCUGCUUCAAGAAGAACUGUAUGUGCCACCCCUGCUGUCACAAUGGCAUGCGCAGGCAACUGUGACCUGCCUGAAGCCUAUUUUAAAAGGUCAGAAUUAAGGCAUGGCUGGGAUUUGGGUCUGCAUCUGCCAGUGGUCUCUGCCUCAAGAAUAGAAAAGCGUGUCUUUCUGGAGCAGGUCAGUGCGUUUCAGGAAGUGACCGGUAGCCAGGGAAGCAACCGGAGACCGGAGCAAAGUGCAGACGUUGGCCGGAGGUCACGGCUCCACCCAGAGGAUGGAGCAAAGGCCAGUCUGGGUCACGGUUCAGAGUAGGGAUCGCCAGCCUGGCCGAAGAGAACGAUGAUCCCCUGGAUGUGUGUUCUGCUGUAUUCCCAAGGCCCAGACGAAUCCCUAGCCCAUCAGAGGUGUUCGAAGUCCGUUUAAAACCUGAGAUGCUUUUACAUAUGAAGGAGCGAGUCUUGUUCAGAACGUUAACCGAUGGCAGAAUCCCAGGAAUCGUCUUCUGAAUUUUGUCCGGAAUUCUACCCCUUUGAAUUUAUUGAAAUGCGGUUUCUCUUUUAGUUCCUGGUUCCUUUUAUUGUUUUUAUCUUGGCGCUAAUCUUUGUUUACCCAGGUUCUGACAUUUUUACUCCAGAAUUAAUUACCCCAGAUGGUCUACUCUCCCGUGUUUUCCCAGCAAACAAAGUGGGCAGGAAGUGUGAGUUUCCUGAGCAAAUUGCCUUUCUGUUUCAGUAGGAGGCUUGGUCUUUUAGAAACUUGUUUAUUUUGUGUCUACUUUUGUUAUUUCUAAUUGAUAAGAAACAAUUUUUUUCAGUUUGGAUCUAGUUAGAUUUUUCCUUUUUCCAUUUGAAAUUUAGUCUUAAUAUUUUGCCCUUUGCUUCCCUGAGUCUCCUUCGUAGUAUCCACCGUUGUGUUGAAUUUGAACCGCGACACCGGCUCUGUUGACGAGCUCCUUGCUCAAAAUAGCUUCUCCACACCUAGAACUUUGGCCUCAGAUUUCUGGUCACUUUCAGCCACUUCCCUUGACGUGACAACAUAAGCGAUCAGCAGGUGAGCUCUUGUGAGCCUUGCCUCUUGGGGUUUCGCACAGAUGGGUCACCCCUAGCUUUGGUGAGUCAUUCAGUGGCCCCCUCUCCCCUCCCCUCCCCUCCCCUCCCUUCCACCUCAGCACUGAGUACAGCAGUACACACUUCUCUGAAGGACAUCACCUCUCUUUCCGCCUUCCUCCUGAUGCGACAGCAGGAACCCUGGAAAUGGCUGCCUUAAAUGUAGGGACCCUAGGAUCUGGCCUCCACGCACAACCCAGAUCACCAGGAAUAACCCAGUCCUGAAACACUGCCCCUCUGCCCGAACCGGGAUUGGGCCGGGCCGGAUGCCGGGAAGCUUCUCCAGAUGCAGCCACUUUCUGUGGCAGGAAGAGGGAGGGCCUCCCCGCAAUCUGUCGUCAGGCUCGGCUUGUCCUCUUCCAUCCCUCCUCACACCCUCUACUUCCCUGGCCUGUCGCUUUCAUCCAUCCCUCCAGUGUCUAGAGACACAACUGUGUGCCGGGCUCAUGCUCGUCUUCGGAGGCACCCUCCCGUAAGGGGUCAUGGUAAUGCGCCCAGUGCCGAAAUGGAGACGCGGCAGAGACGUCUGGGUCUGUGAAGGGUUGCUCAGUGCACGCCCCGCACAGAGGCCGUGUAAGCGGAGUGUGGAAAAGAUGGUUUGCAGCUCGCUCACCAAUGUUCUCCGUUCCGCCCACUUUGGAUCAGAGGACUUCUUACAGGAGAAAUCCGAUUGGCCGGACACCGCCUUCACCCAGUGAUCAAGUUAACACCCCCGCCCCCGCCCCCGUAUUCGUACAGCACCACAACAUUUCCAUGCUGUUUCUACCCAAAAUACAGUACCUGAAUCUACUUAUGAAGAAACAAGAGAGAAGCCCGGAUUGAGGGCUUACAAAACAGCUGGUCUGUACUCUUCAAAAAUUCAAAAAGGCCAAAGUUACAAAAGACAAAGACUAAAGGGGGGGAAAGAGAGGGAGGGAGGGAGGGAGGAAGGAAGGAAGGAAGGAAGGAAGGAAGGAAGGAAGGAAGACCAAGGAACUGUCCCAGUUCCAGGACUUUCUUUUGCUAUCAUGGACAUCACUGGGACAACAGGCCGGAUCUGACUAUUGUCUGAAGGUUAUAGUGUUUUAUCAGGGUUAAUCUCCUGAUCUUGAGAAUUGUACUAUGGUUAUGUAAGAGUCUCUAGGAAAUACACACUAGAGUAUCUGAGGGUAAAGGGGCAUCGUGUCUGUAAUUUAUUCUCAAACGGUAGAGAAAAAGUUGUGUGUGUGUGGAGAGGAGGCUGGGGGAGAUAAAGACAAUGUAAUAACGUUAACGUGCAGGGAAAUCUGGUUGAAGAGUAUAUAGGAAUUCCUUGUACUGCUCUUGCAACUUUCCUGUAAGUCUGAAAUGAUGUCUAAAAAAGAAUUUCCGGGGUGGUCCCUGGAGGGUUCACUUGGUGAAGCAUCCAGCUCUUGGUUUUGGCUCAGGUCAUAAUCUCACGGUGUGUGGGUUCGAGCCCCGUGUCGGGACCUUGUGCUGACAGCUCGGAGCCUGGAGCCUGCUUCGGAUUCUGUGUGUGUGUGUCUCUCUCUGCCCCUCUCUUGCUCCCACUCUGUCUGUCUGUCUGUCUGUCUCUCUCUCAAAAAUAAACACUAAAAAAUUUUUUAAUGAAAUAAAAUUGUGAAAAUAAAGUUUCUCUAGUGAUUCUGACAUCAGA